ensembl:snoRNA SNORD24 Small nucleolar RNA SNORD24
UGCAGAUGAUGAUAAAGAAUAUUUGCUAUCUUAAAACCAAUUUGAUGACAAACUUUAAUCACCAAGAUCGCUGAUGCA